rnacentral:pre_miRNA from 1 species
UGGCGAGUGGGUUUGUAGUCCACGUGCAAUAGUUUCCGUGACUAGAUCCUACACUCGUCC